GACGAACGCUGGCGGCGUGCCUAACACAUGCAAGUCGAGCGAAUGAAGUUCCUUCGGGAACGGAUUUAGCGGCGGACGGGUGAGUAACACGUGGGCAACCUGCCUCAUAGAGGGGAAUAGCCUUCCGAAAGGGGAGAUUUAAAUACCCGCAUAAGAUUGUAGUACCGCAUGGUACAGCAAUUAAAGGAGUAAUCCGCUAUGAGAUGGGCCCGCGGCGCAUUAGCUAGUUGGUGAGGUAACGGCUCACCAAGGCGACGAUGCGUAGCCGACCUGAGAGGGUGAUCGGCCACAUUGGGACUGAGACACGGCCCAGACUCCUACGGGAGGCAGCAGUGGGGAAUAUUGCACAAUGGGGGAAACCCUGAUGCAGCAACGCCGCGUGAGUGAUGACGGCCUCGGUUGU
rnacentral:rRNA from 1 species